rnacentral:sRNA from 1 species
AAGACAGAAACAGACAA